AAAGUCGUAACAAGGUUUCCGUAGGUGAACCUGCGGAAGGAUCAUUAAUAAUCAAAUAUUGAGACCCUGUGGAACGAGAUUGAGCGCAUGGCGACCGACCGACCGCGUCGGGAUCCAUGUGGGAGAUCGCCUGUUUCUCUCACCAGUAAAGGAGAGAGGGACAGUAUAAAACACCAUGAUAACGAGACAAUGAUCUAAUGAAAAACAACUUUUAACAAUGGAUCUCUUGGCUCUU
rnacentral:misc_RNA from 1 species